UACGUAGGGUCCGAGCGUUGUCCGGAAUUAUUGGGCGUAAAGGGCUCGUAGGCGGCCUGUCGCGUCGGAUGUGAAAGCCCGGGGCUCAACCCCGGGUCUGCAUUCGAUACGGGCAGGCUGGAGUGUGGUAGGGGAGAUCGGAAUUCCUGGUGUAGCGGUGAAAUGCGCAGAUAUCAGGAGGAACACCGGUGGCGAAGGCGGAUCUCUGGGCCAUUACUGACGCUGAGGAGCGAAAGCGUGGGGAGCGAACAGG
rnacentral:rRNA from 1 species